rnacentral:rRNA from 1 species
GGGUUGUGAGGUUAAGCGACUAAGCGUACACGGUGGUAUGCCCUGGCAGUCAGAGGCGAUGAAGGACGUGCUAAUCU